UCCAAGUGAUUAGUAAUAAUAUAAUGGAACAGUACCUGUGAGCAAAGCAUAGUAAGUUAAAGAUUAAAUUCGGUUAUGUACAUAUCGUAUAGUUUUCAUCACUUCGAUUUUGCAUAUCAUUUAUAUCAGGCUCACUGGAUUAGUACAGUCCUCACAUGGCCAGUACUGAAACGCGACAGGGCUACAACCCAUCUACUAUAUAUGAUCAAGGAGGGGUAUAAUGUCCUUUUGGCAUCAAAAACGAACGAUUGGUAUGAAUAGAGUUGAAUUAAUUUACAGAAAACCAUGCAUACUUGAAUCUUCUUUGUAUAAGCAUCCCGGCAGUAAUCAACCGGGCAUGCCUGUCCGAGCGACAUUUCACCCCUCGAGCCGCUUUUAGUGGAUCGGUGUUGGGGCACUACGGUAAAACGUAGGCCCCGAAAUGAAGUGGCGGUCCCGCCGCGGUGCCCCCAUGCGUAGUAACGUUUAGUCUCGCAUCGGGUCCCGGCGGAGGCCUGCCGUCAAGCCUAUUUAUUCUCAGAAUAGUUUGACCUCGGAUCAGGUAGGGUUACCCGCUGAACUUAAGCAUAUCAAUAAGCGGAGGA
rnacentral:rRNA from 1 species